AUUGAACGCUGGCGGCAGGCUCAACACAUGCAAGUCGAGCGGGGGAAGGUAGCUUGCUACCGGACCUAGCGGCGGACGGGUGAGUAAUGCUUAGGAAUCUGCCUAUUAGUGGGGGACAACAUCUCGAAAGGGAUGCUAAUACCGCAUACGUCCUACGGGAGAAAGCAGGGGAUCUUCGGACCUUGCGCUAAUAGAUGAGCCUAAGUCGGAUUAGCUAGUUGGUGGGGUAAAGGCCUACCAAGGCGACGAUCUGUAGCGGGUCUGAGAGGAUGGUGCGCCACACUGGGACUGAGAGACGGCCCAGACUCCUACGGGAGGCAGCAGUGGGGAAUAUUGGACAAUGGGGGGAACCCUGAUCCAGCCAUGCCGCGUGUGUGAAGAAGGCCUUAUGGUUGUAAAGCACUUUAAGCGAGGAGGAGGCUACUCUAGUUAAUACCUAGGGAUAGUGGACGUUACUCGCAGAAUAAGCACCGGCUAACUCUGUGCCAGCCGCCGCGGUAA
rnacentral:rRNA from 1 species